rnacentral:rRNA from 1 species
AGUUUGAUCCUGGCUCAGAUUGAACGCUGGCGGGAUGCUUUACACAUGCAAGUCGAACGGCAGCACGGACUUCGGUCUGGUGGCGAGUGGCGAACAGGUGAGUAAUGUAUCGGAACGUGCCUAGUAGCGGGGAUAACUACGCGAAAGCGUAGCUAAUACCGCAUACGCCCUUCGGGGAAAGCGGGGGACCUUCGGGCCUCGCACUAUUAGAGCGGCCGAUAUCGGAUUAGCUAGUUGGUGGGGUAACGGCUCACCAAGGCGACGAUCCGUAGCUGGUUUGAGAGGACGACCAGCCACACUGGGACUGAGACACGGCCCAGACUCCUACGGGAGGCAGUGGGGAAUUUUGGACAGUGGGGGAAACCCUGAUCCAGCCAUCCCGCGUGUGCGAUGAAGGCCUUCGGGUUGUAAAGCACUUUUGGCAGGAAAGAAACGGCACGGGAUAAUACCCCGUGCAACUGACGGUACCUGCAGAAUAGCACCGGCUAACUACGUGCCAGCAGCCGCGGUAAUACGUAGGUGCAAGCGUUAAUCGGAAUUACUGGGCGUAAAGCGCGUGCGCAGGCGGUUCGGAAAGAAAGAUGUGGAAAUCCCAGAGCUUAACUUUGGAACUGCAUUUUUAACUACCGAGCUAGAGGUCAGAGUGAGGUGGAAUUCCGCGUAGCAGUGAAAUGCGUAGAUAUGCGGAGGAACACCGAUGGCGAAGGCAGCCUCCUGGGAUAACACUGACGCUCAUGCACGAAAGGGUGGGAGCAAACAGGAUUAGAUACCCCGGUAGUCCACGCCCUAAACGAUGUCAACUAGCUGUUGGGGCCUUCGCCUGGUAGCGCAGCUAACGCGUGAAGUUGACCGCCUGGGGAGUACGGUCGCAAGAUUAAAACUCAAAGGAAUUGACGGGGACCCGCACAAGCGGUGGAUGAUGUGAUUAAUUCGAUGCAACGCGAAAACCUUACCUACCCUUGACAUGUCUGGAAUCCCGAAGCAGAUUUGGGAGUGCUCGCAAGAGAACCGGAACACAGGUGCUGCAUGGAUAUGUCGUCAGCUCGUCGUGAGAUGUUGGGUUAAGUCCCGCAACGAGCGCAACCCUUGUCAUUAGUUGCUACGAAAGGGCACUCUACGAGACUGCCGGUGACAAACCGGAGGGAAGGUGGGGAUGACGUCAAGUCCUCAUGGCCCUUAUGGGUAGGGCUUCACACGUCAUACAAUGGUCGGGACAGAGGGUCGCCAACCCGCGAGGGGGAGCCAAUCCCAGAAACCCGAUCGUAGUCCGAUCGCAGUCUGCAACUCGACUGCGUGAAGUCGGAAUCGCUAGUAAUCGCGGAUCAGUACGUCGCGGUGAAUACGUUCCGGUCUUGUACACCGCCCGUCACACCAUGGGGAGUGGGUUUUUACCAGAAGUAGUUAGCCUAACCGUAAGGAGGGCGAUUACCACGGUAGGAUUCAUGACUGGGGUGAAGUCGUAACAAGGUAA